rnacentral:tRNA from 1 species
GCUGGGUGGUGCAAAUGGUCAGCACUUGACUACUAACCAAAAUGUUGGUGGUUCAAAUCCACCCAGCAGCA